rnacentral:rRNA from 1 species
CCUACGGGUGGCAGCAGUGAGGAAUAUUGGUCAAUGGCCGGAAGGCUGAACCAGCCAAGCCGCGUGAAGGACGAAGGUGCCAAGCAUUGUAAACUUCUUUUGUCAAGGGACAAAAUCAGGCUCGAGAGCCUGACCGAGGGUACUUGAAGAAAAAGCAUCGGCUAACUCCGUGCCAGCAGCCGCGGUAAUACGGAGGAUGCGAGCGUUAUCCGGAUUUAUGGGGUUUAAGGGGUGCGUAGGCGGGCUGUUAAGUCAGCGGUAAAAGCCCGGGGCUCAACCCCGGCGAGCCGUUGAAACUGGCUGUCUUGAGAUGUCGAGAGGUAUGCGGAAUGCGCAGUGUAGCGGUGAAAUGCAUAGAUAUCACGCAGAACUCCGAUUGCGAAGGCAGCAUACCGGCGCCCAACUGACGCUGAAGCACGAAAGCGUGGGUAUCGAACAGGAUUAGAUACCCCUGUAGUC